rnacentral:rRNA from 1 species
GACGAACGCUGGCGGCGUGCCUAACACAUGCAAGUCGAGCGAUGAAGUUUCCUUCGGGGAACGGAUUAGCGGCGGACGGGUGAGUAACACGUGGGUAACCUGCCUUGUAGAGGGGGAUAGCCUUUCGAAAGGAAGAUUAAUACCGCAUAAGAUUGUAGUUUCGCAUGAAACAGCAAUUAAAGGAGUAAUCCGCUACAAGAUGGACCCGCGGCGCAUUAGCUAGUUGGUGAGGUAACGGCUCACCAAGGCGACGAUGCGUAGCCGACCUGAGAGGGUGAUCGGCCACAUUGGGACUGAGACACGGCCCAGACUCCUACGGGAGGCAGCAGUGGGGAAUAUUGCACAAUGGGGGAAACCCUGAUGCAGCAACGCCGCGUGAGUGAUGACGGUCUUCGGAUUGUAAAGCUCUGUCUUUGGGGACGAUAAUGACGUACCCAAGAGA